GGAGAUUUGACUGAGUGGUUUAAAGUGGUUAGCUUGAGCCUAACUAUGGUAAUUUCCAUCAUAGGUUCGAAUCCUAUAGUCUCCG
rnacentral:tRNA from 1 species